AUUGAACGCUGGCGGCAGGCUUAACACAUGCAAGUCGAACGAGUGGCGGACGGGUGAGUAAUGUCUGGGAAACUGCCCGAUGGAGGGGGAUAACUACUGGAAACGGUAGCUAAUACCGCAUACCAUCGGAUGUGCCCAGAUGGGAUUAGCUAGUAGGUGGGGUAAUGGCUCACCUAGGCGACGAUCCCUAGCUGGUCUGAGAGGAUGACCAGUGACAUGGGAAAUGAGACACGGUCCAGACUCCUACGGGAGGCAGCAGUGGGGAACAGGGGACAAUGGGCGCAAGCCUUAUGCAGCCAUGCCGCGUGUGUGAAGAAGUCCUUCGGGUUGUAAAGUACUUUUAGCGAGGAGGCGGUACUGGCAGAAGAAGCACCGGCUAACUACGUGCCAGCCGCCGCGGUAAUAC
rnacentral:rRNA from 1 species